ensembl:lncRNA
UAGGAUCACAGCAGCGGAGUCGUUGGAAUCCAAGAUGGAGGAGGAAUGCUUCGCGGUAGGGCGCUUUCUUCCUGUCAACUGACUCUCUCACUUCCUGUAUACGUCUGCACUUCCUGGGUCUGAAGGCCUCGCAGAAGAAGUGGCCGUGGCCUCGCGGAAGAAGAGAGGAAGAGAGGAAGGGAUGAGUGCAGAGUUGGGAGUCUGUGAGCUCAGCUGCAGUCAGAGAGUGACAGAGAGAGACACCCAAGAGAGAGAGAGAGAGAGAGAGAUCUAGACAGAGACAACCAGAGAGUGACAGAGAGACAGAGAGUCGCUGGGUAAGAUACGUUUGUGAGAGAGGAGCAGCUACUCAGAGCCAGACCGCAAAACCACCAGGAAAAAAAAAAUAGAAGCAAAACAUCGGUCACGUUUUUUUUUGUUCAACCGCUCUCCCUCCUUCGGGGGCUCUCUCGGUCAGCGGGAAUUUCGGGGGGGGAACGUUUU